UACGUAGGCAGCGAGCGUUGUUCGGAGUUACUGGGCGUAAAGGGUGUGUAGGCGGUUGUCUAAGUUUGGUGUGAAAUCUCCCGGCUCAACUGGGAGGGUGCGCCGAAUACUGAAUGACUAGAGUGCGGGAGAGGAAAGUGGAAUUCCUGGUGUAGCGGUGAAAUGCGUAGAUAUCAGGAGGAACACCGGUGGUGUAGACGGCUUUCUGGACCGUAACUGACGCUGAGACACGGAAAGCGUGGGUAGCAAACAGG
rnacentral:rRNA from 1 species